rnacentral:misc_RNA from 1 species
CCUCCUUAUACGACUUAGAACUUAUUUGUUCGUAGUGUCCACACAGAUGAUUGUUAGUUAGUUUUACCCUUUGGGUUUAACUGAUUAAUAUGCUCUUUAAAAAUUUGGAAAAGCUGAUAAUAAAAUUCUGAUAAAUAUUCGUAUUUAUCAAGAGUUUUCAAAAGUAAAAAAGAAUGAUAGCAGUAUCAUUCAGUGCCAAUUUAAUCAUUCAUGAUUAAUUGGUAUCUACUUUAGUAUUCAAUAUUAACUUCUGGCGAAGUUAAACUGUCACUAACAAAGACCCGUUUGGGUUGUAUGGUUAAGUGACUAAGCGUACACGGUGGAUGC